GGAACAACUUUGGCGGAAGUCGUGACACCCAUCUACGGCAAAGACUGUAGUCUGGCUAUUUUAUGACGGUUUUGGAGCAGUGGCUUCUUCCUUGCUGAGUGGCCUUUCAGGUUAUGUCGAAUAUAGGACUCGUUUUACUGUGGAUAUAGAUACUUUGUACCUGUUUCCUCCAGCAUCUUCACAAGGUCUUUGCUGUUGUUCUGGUAUUGAUUUGCACUUUUCGCACCAAAGUACGUUCACCUCUAGGAGACAGAACGCAUCUCCUUCCUGAGCGGUAUGACGGCUGCAUGGUCCCAUGGUGUUUAUACUUGCAUACUAUUGUUUGUGCAGAUGAACGUGGUGUCUUCGGGCAUUUAGAAAUUGCUCCCAAGCAUGAAUCAGACUUGUGGAGGUCUACAAUUUUUGGAGGUAUUGGCUGAUAUCUUUUGAUUUUCCCAUGAUGUCAAGCAAAGAGGCACUGAGUUUGAAGGAUGACUUCCGCAGGCCACCGUGGUCGACUACACUCCAUGUGAGCAUGUGAGUCCUCGAAAGAAGAAGACUUUCACUUUCAUAUGGAUCGCACCUGCGGGCAAUGACUGACCAAGGAAUUUCAACUCCCAGUAUAAUAGGCCUAGUCACUAUAUUCUGCUGCAUUUAUGGCGGACAAUUCGUCAAUGCUGGUCCGUCCACCACCCAUUUGUCAUAACAAACGGCAAUGUCAUUCUCAACCCUGGGAUCCGUGGUGGAGUUCUACAGGAGAUCCUCUGGAAACAUGGUGUAAACUAGGCGGUGGAAUGGGACAGUGCUGAGAUAUGGGAAUUUUGUGAUUUUAAAGGGAGGACAUCCUUGAACAGUACAACAGGAGAAAUCACUAUCAGACAGCUGACCAAGCAGCUCAGUGGGGUGUAUGAUUGGUGGAAAAAUACAGACCUUUCAGCAGAGAGUGAAAUUCGUUGUAAAGUCAUUGUUUCCUAAAUGGAAGGUCGGGACUUGUGAUCCAAUGAUGGAUCGGGACCUCUUUUUAGGUACUAGCUAAAGGCGGGGAUGUAACACAUUUUAAAAAUGUAAUCUUUAUUUAACUAGGCAAGUAAAUUAAGAACAAAUUCUUAUUUACAAUGACUGCCUACUCCUAGCCAAACGCUGGGCCAAUUGUGCGCCGCCCUAUGGGACUUCCAAUCAUGGCCGGAUGUGAUACAGCCUGGAUUCGAACCAGGGACUGUAGUGAUGGCUCUUGCACUGAGAUGCAGUGCUUUACACAGCUGCGCCACUCGGGAGCAAAACAUGUAAAAGGUUCAAACACAAAAAGGUUGCCAACGACUGUGUCAUGUGUUAAGGUGCUGAACAAGAACCUUGGUUAGGCCACACUUUUUAAAGACAUUUCUGUUUCUGGUUAUCUUUUUACUUCUCUUAUAAGCAAACCCUAUAUGCGGCUCUCUCCAAACGUCCCCGUGAUAAGAACGCAAGGGACUUUUUGAUGUAUAUCAGAUGGGAGAACUAUGCAGGUUUGUGAGUAGAGAGAAACAAAGAGACAGUCACAGAUACAUCUGACAUGUGUUUUAUUCCAUGGAUCCUCAUACUAGCUGCUUUUGGGGUCCUGGCCUUAGUUUUGCUUGUUGUUGGAGUAUUUCUUAUCUACAAGAAGUGUUAAAGGUAAGCCCACAUCUUUGAGUAAUACUAUGGUGGUUUUAUUUAGCUUUUUCUCCUUUUAAAUUGGAUUUAAUCUCUCAGGAUCAAAUGAUGAUUUCAGGUCAAACACUAUUCAUUAUGUUAAGUUUAGACUAAAGCAUCCCACUAGGCAGAGACUUUAUGUCAUUUCAACCAAAAAUGAAAUGUGAUGAUGUUCAGUCUAUGCCAAAAACGGAUUGGAUUUACAAGGAAUUUCAUGUUUUUUCACCCAACUUUGAACCUAAAUCCAAUGACAUUGUGAAUUUUUUUAUUGAUAUCACGUUGAAUUCAAGUUAGUUGACAACUCAACCAAAUUAAAAUCAAAACUAGAUGUUGAAAUGACGUCUGUGCCCUGUGGGAAAUCUGUCACUUGAAGUUGUUUUUCGGUUACAUAGAUACAGAUUAUUACACCAGAUAAUGGGGUUUAGUCAAAGAUGUUUGGUAACCAUUUCUGGGAGUGACAGGUUAGGUACUGUUUGGUGUAGCACAGAGGAUUUUCGACCAACCUUAUCUUGGAGAUACUAUCUUCGUUCUCGAUUCGGCCAAACGUAUCGUCUAAAAUAUCCAUGUCCAGUUGCAUGAGGUGUGUUUGAAUAUAGAAAAUGCUCCAUUAUUCAUAUAAAUACAUGUUUUGCUGCAGGAAGUAAUC